UACAACCAGAUCUGUUCAGGUGCACAUCGUGCUUAAAAGGGAACUCCUGUGCGAAUCAGGGACGGGCCCGCCGCUGUAAGUGGGGACGAAGGCUUCCAAAAACACCACUGUCGAUUAAAAGCCGGUAAUUAAAGGCUUAAAAAUCGGCGGGAAGGUAGAGGCCUGCCGGAUGAUCCACAAGUCAGAAGACCUGCCGGACAAAUGGGUGUAUU
rnacentral:ncRNA from 2 species